AAAAUCCAUUGUUUCCUAGACUUCCCCAUCAGUAAUUCCACUGCUUCUCUUGAGGGACCUGAGGAAGACUGGGCCUUGUGUUCUACAACUAUUUUCUGUGUGGGGAGGUUGGACUGGGUCAUUCUGUGUUCACUGAACCAAGAUUUUGCCUCCUGAUCACGUGGCUUUCUCGUGGAAAAAUGAAGGCAGUUAAAAACUUAGUGGUUUUAGUUGUGUGGUAUAGAAGGUGUAGUUAGAAAAUUCCUUCUGUAAUUUGUUUCUAUUAGGUUUAUUUUCUACUAUACUGAAUGUUGUCCUGUUGUUGUUUUGUGUGGGUUUCUCUUGGUAAAGAAAGGUAUUCCAGCAUUCCCGACGUGUUUUCUUUCACUUUGUGCCAUGAUGGAUUCAUGGCACUGCCUAGAGCAGAAUAAAUUACUGUAACACUCAUUUCCCUAAAAUACACUUAAUAUCACCAUCCAUGUAAUUUUUUUUGCAGUUCUAUACUGGAUUUCCAGAACUACCCUCCUAGGCUUUUGGAAUCUGUUCUCGAUGGAUUGUUUGCAAAACUAGGAAAUAAGAAGUUUUUUUAUAACACAGAGAGUAAUAAUUUUAUAUUUCUGAUUUUAUUUAAAUUUGUACACUUGCCUAACAAAAUAACAGUUCCAAUAUAUUUUUUAUGACGUGAAAGCUAAAAGAGGUUUAUAGUUUCAAACAAAUAAUGAAGUAGAGAGUAAACAACAUGUGGCCAAAAUAAGUAUUCCCUGCAGUUUCUAACAUGGAUUUAUUAACCAUAAAGCUCGUUGUAUUCAAGGCAAAUGGUUUAGUUUAGAAUAGAUAAAUCUGUAAAAACACAACAACACUGUAACUGUUGGGAAGUCACCACGGCUCUGCCUUUGCUAUCUAAUUAAAAUUAACCAAAGGUUUUAUACAAGACUGACCAGGAAUGUUCAUAUCUCUCCUUCAAAAAUAAGACUAAAAAAAUUCCUUGGAAUAUUAAAAGAAAUAUUUAAAGAGCUUUCUUGUUCCUAUGAGUGAUGUUAGUGUGAAUCUAAUGGCUACUCACCAAAAGGUAGGUAUGUAAUGAGAAGAGGAAAUCAUAUUUACAGGGCACUGUACCCAUAAUCCUUCCAGUUGAAUGUGGCUUUCAAGAACAUCUCUGACUAACUUUGGGCUCUGUUAUCCUGCAGAAAUGUGAACAACUGGUUGUCCUGUCAGGCUUUGUGAUUUGGAGACAAGUUAUCAAAGAAGACACUUGGCUACCGAAGUGCAGUUUGUCACACAAAGCCUAAAACAGAAGCACGCCAGAGUACAACAGUGCCCAGUGUACUUCCUGCAGCCAGAGGUAUCCACAACCCACAGGGAGCAGGGAUCCCUUGUCCAGGAAGCAGGAAUGCCUGUGUGGGAGCUGGAGGAACAGCUUGCUGCCUUUGGAAAGGUACCAAAGAGAGGGACAGGAAUUCAUUUGCAAGCCUUAUGUAAUAUCCAGCCCUGCCAAGAGGUGCAUGCUGGGGGCUCCCUCUCCCCACACAGCACUCCAGCAUUCAGGAAUGCCUCCGCUUCCUUAUCUUUGCAGAAGGCAAGCACAGACCUCCUACAAGAUCAUCUCCCACCUCUACUGUGCAUCUGUUCAUUUUCUGCCUGUCAAGCCUCUUCAGAAUUUAAAAGAUCUUGCAGGAGAUAGGAGAACAAGAUUUCAAGUUUGAGCGCAUCAGAUCCGACGUGAAACAUGAAUUUUUAUUGCUUGACUUAUUUUUCUUACUUUUUUCUUUUUUUUUUAAGUGGAAAAGAGAAAGGAGAACUGCUGUGUAGGGAACUGUUGCUUGCAGUAUAUCUUUCUCAGCAGUAAAAAUAUCUCCAAGACAGAAGUACAGUUCUCUUUUUAGUCCUGACACCUCCAGAGCCUGAUAUAUGGGGCUGAGUUAGAUGGAAAGGUAUUAUUAGGUUUUUUCUUAGAUUAUGAUGCAAGCUCAAGCUGGCUGGGCUCAUCAGGCAGUAAAUCCAAUGCAAACAGCUGUGGCCAAAUUCUGCUCUUUUCCAUGUUGCUGUUUGUGGCCAGAAUUCCUCUCCACUGGGAUCCUGGUUCCCUUCUACCACUUGUGAGGGUGUGCCCAGGGCAUGACUUACAGUGCAACUUGUCAUUGACAGAGUAAUUCUGAGUGAGUGCUAUUCAAAAAAAAGGGUUAUUCUUCCUUACACAAUACAGGAAUCCAAAAUUCAGGCCUUAAUCACACAGCUAAGAUUUGUUAGGUAUGGCACAGGGAGUUAUUUAUACAGGACUUUUACCAUCAGUGACUUCUUUUUUCAAAAAUAAGCCCUUUUCAACUCC